rnacentral:rRNA from 1 species
AAGGGCACCACAAGAACGCGUGGAGCAUGUGGCUUAAUUUGACUCAACGCGGGAAAUCUUACCGGGUCCGGACACACUGAGGAUUGACAGGUGUUUCGUUUUGAUAUAGCAUUCAUAUCAAUGCUAAUGGGAAUUCCUUUGUUGGUUUUCUUUUUUUAGUAAUACAUGUGCUAUUAUACAAAACAAUUUCAAAUAUGCUAGUCCUUUCAUGAUUGUGUGAUAGGUGGUGCAUGGCCGUUCUUAGUUCGUGGAGUGAUCUGCCGGCUUAAUUGCGUUUCACUUAUGGCCACAAGUGUUUUAUAUUAAUACUGUGACCUCAUCGGUUUUUUUACAAAACGGUGAUUGCGUCCGGUAUGAUAUGCACUGUGAAAGCCUCGAAGGCAACGAACGUGACCGCAGCCUCUUGUUGCCUCCCUUGUGCAAACUGUAUCGUGUUUCUGCGUAUUAUAUAUAUUUAUAUGUAUUUUAUGUGUUAUGCUUUCAGUCUUUUGCCACAGUUUUUUCAUACGUAUGUAUUAUCGUUUUUGGUUCCUUGAUGAAGGCAUUACAUUAUUUGUGGAUCAUGUAUGCAUGUGGUUGCGUCAACGUAGUCAUGUGUUGUUGUGGUUUGCAAGGUGUAUGUGUCGUUCACAGGGAUUCUGAAAUUUGUAUGUACAUACAGCGAAUUAACCUGCAGUGGAGGGAAACUAGAGGGACCGCUGACUUUUUAUCUAACCAGAGGAAGGUUGCGGCAAUAACAGGUCUGUGAUGCCCUUAGAUGUUCCGGGCUGCACACGUGCUACAAUGAUUAUUGCAGUGAGCAUCUUACCCCAGUUCGUGGGCACAGCUUAUUUCGUUACACUGGUACUUUAAAGGGUGUUAUAUGUAUAUAUUAUUCAUAUGUGUGUUUCUUUUUGGAAUGCGUGUGUGAUGUGUGUAUAUGUGUUUCACCUGUCAGUGUUAGCGGGCUGAUGCAUUUUUACGACCAGGCUACUUCGAAAGUAAGUAGCUAAUCAAUUCGAAGUAAUGAUUUCCUUUGCAUAUUACAUAUAUGUCCUGUGUCUUAUGGGUGUUUUCUCUUUUAGAGUUUACAUUACCGUAUUAUACAGUGGCAUGUGCUCCAUUAAUUCGUGGUGGGGACAGACCAUUGUUAAUUGUUGGUCUCGGUCUCAACUAGGAAUGCCUUGUACGGGUCUUUGGUUCAACAGACCACCCGGAAUAUGUCCCUGCCCUUUGUACACACCGCCCGUCGCUCUUACCGAUGGACUUCUCUGUGAGUUUGAGGGACUGGAAUCUCCUUUCUAUGGAAACUUAAACGAACAGCGUGGUCUAAAGGAAAGAGAAGUCGAACAAGGCA